UAAAACAAAACCAGUAGUACUCCUACAAAAAGAGGGACGAAGCGGCAGGGACAGGACGAGCGGACCACGGCGAGGGAGGGCAGCCACGUGAGAGAGCCCGGAAAGCGGAGGAGAGGCACGCGGGAAAGCGCGGAAUUUUGUUGCGAUGCCGCGCGGGCGAGCCGUGUCGCGGCCCUCGUGCGCGGCGGGGGAUAAUACGGUUUUCGAUCUCUUUUCGAUUCCGCCCGCGCCGCGAAACCGCGGCGCCGGUGCGUGAGCUGAGGGGCGUGACACCAGGCACGAAGGGGGACGCUGCCACUGCUCUGAACGGCGGCAGGGCCAUCAACACGCGUACUGCUGCUAGCGAGUGCUCGUCGUCUGCUACAGCUUCGCAUGUGCUUUUCGAGCCUGGGAUGCCCAGCAGCUUCUUCUCCCGGCAGCAGUACACCGAAUUUUAGCACCGUAUGUUUAUCUCGUCGUGGUUUCAAUUUUUCAUGAGCUUCCCACGCCCAUCUUCUUGAUCCAAGGUUCCGAAGUAACAACCCAGAGUGUUUGUUUGAAUUGUUUUUAAGUUAACAGAAAAUCUGCUACGAUUCCAUUAAAUAAAAACACACCGUCGACGAAAACUGUUCGGUUUAUUAGAGGUGUUUGUUUGAAUCUUGACAGUGAUUUUUUACUCCAGUUUUUUGCAUGCCAACCUGAACAGCUGAACUGCUGAAGAUAGCGUUUUCAUGGAGCUAUCACGGGCAGCUGGUUGUUGCAAGAUAAAAUUGACAUCUACUAUUGUUUUACGGGGCAAACAUAUUGAAAUCUAACUCGGUCUUGUCUUCAAUUUGGAACGACUAAUCUCCAGUUUGGCAACCGACAAGACAAUGUCUACCACACACCCACGUCAUAUCUUCACGCACUUGGUCUCAUGGCCCGGCGCCCGCAGAAUUAUUUUAUCACAAUUUUGCUAACCGCUUCUAAAAAGACGCCUCAUCAUGAUAAUUAACUGCUCAACCAACUGCCCAUAACUAUAAGCUAGCUAUCAUCCUUUGCUAACUAAUGUAGUGUUCACCAAUCAUGUGUUGGUCAUCUUGAAAUGCAUUUUUGUGUACCUUUUCUUUUUGCUAACUAAUAUUUUUUUGUUGUUGCAGGGGAACUAAUAUACUCCUGUUUACCAAUCUUUUUUUUUUGCACAUUUUCUCUUGGAACAUUUCCUGCUGUACAAACAAGUA
rnacentral:lncRNA from 1 species